rnacentral:rRNA from 1 species
UGUAGUCAUAUGCUUGUCUCAAAGAUUAAGCCAUGCAUGUCUAAGUAUAAGCAAUUUAUACAGUGAAACUGCGAAUGGCUCAUUAAAUCAGUUAUCGUUUAUUUGAUAGUACCUUUACUACUUGGAUAACCGUGGUAAUUCUAGAGCUAAUACAUGCUAAAAAUCCCGACUGUUUGGAAGGGAUGUAUUUAUUAGAUAAAAAAUCAAUGCUUUUCGGAGCUCUUUGAUGAUUCAUAAUAACUUUUCGAAUCGCAUGGCCUUGUGCUGGCGAUGGUUCAUUCAAAUUUCUGCCCCAUCAACUUUCGAUGGUAGGAUAGUGGCCUACCAUGGUUUCAACGGGUAACGGGGAAUAAGGGUUCGAUUCCGGAGAGGGAGCCUGAGAAACGGCUACCACAUCCAAGGAAGGCAGCAGGCGCGCAAAUUACCCAAUCCCGACACGGGGAGGUAGUGACAAUAAAUAACGAUACAGGGCCCUUUCGGGUCUUGUAAUUGGAAUGAGUACAAUGUAAAUACCUUAACGAGGAACGAUUGGAGGGCAAGUCUGGUGCCAGCAGCCA